CCUACGGGUGGCAGCAGUGAGGAAUAUUGGUCAAUGGACGAGAGUCUGAACCAGCCAAGUAGCGUGAAGGAUGACUGCCCUAUGGGUUGUAAACUUCUUUUAUAUGGGAAUAAAACGUUCCACGUGUGGGAUUUUGUAUGUACCAUAUGAAUAAGGAUCGGCUAACUCCGAGCCAGCAGCCGCGGUAAUACGGAGGAUCCGAGCGUUAUCCGGAUUUAUUGGGUUUAAAGGGAGCGUAGGUGGAUUGUUAAGUCAGUUGUGAAAGUUUGCGGCUCAACCGUAAAAUUGCAGUUGAAACUGGCAGUCUUGAGUACAGUAGAGGUGGGCGGAAUUCGUGGUGUAGCGGUGAAAUGCUUAGAUAUCACGAAGAACUCCGAUUGCGAAGGCAGUUCACUGGACUGCAACUGACACUGAGGCUCGAAAGUGUGGGUAUCAAACAGGAUUAGAUACCCUUGUAGUC
rnacentral:rRNA from 1 species